AUUGAACGCUGGCGGCAGGCCUAACACAUGCAAGUCGAACGAGUGGCGGACGGGUGAGUAAUGUCUGGGAAACUGCCCGAUGGAGGGGGAUAACUACUGGAAACGGUAGCUAAUACCGCAUACCAUCGGAUGUGCCCAGAUGGGAUGAGCUAGUAGGUGGGGUAACGGCUCACCUAGGCGACGAUCCCUAGCUGGUCUGAGAGGAUGACCAUCGACCGUGGAACUGAGACAGGGUCAAGACUCCUCCGGGAGGAACAGGUGGGAAAUAUUGCACAAUGGGGUCAAGCCUGAUGCAGCCAUGCCGCGUGUAUGAAGAGGGCUUUCGGGUUGUAAAGUACUUUAAGCGGGGAGGCGUUACUCGCAGAAGAAGCCCCGGCUAACUCCUUGCCAGCAUCCGCGGUAAUAC
rnacentral:rRNA from 1 species